rnacentral:rRNA from 1 species
AGGGCACCACCAGGAGUGGAGCCUGCGGCUUAAUUUGACUCAACACGGGGAAACUCACCCGGCCCGGACACUGUAAGGAUGGACAGAUUAAAAGCUCUUUCUUGAUUCAGUGGGUGGUGGUGCAUGGCCGUUCUUAGUUGGUGGAGUGAUUUGUCUGGUUAAUUCCGAUAACGAACGAGACUCUGACCUGCUAAAUAGUACGUUGGUAUUGGCACUCAGCAAUGGGUGUUCUCGCUGACGCUGACUUCUUAGAGGGAUUCGCAGUAUUCAAACUGCACGAAAUAGAGCAAUAACAGGUCUGUGAUGCCCUUAGAUGUCCGGGGCCGCACGCGCGCUACAAUGACAGCUUCAGAGAGUUUUGCAACCUGGUCCGAAAGGAUUGGGAAAUCUUGGCAUAGCUGUCUCCUCAGGGAUUGGGGUUUGUAACUGUCCCCCAUGAACGAGGAAUUCCCAGUAGGCGCAAGUCAUCAGCUUGCGCCGAUCACGUCCCUGCCCUUUGUACACACCGCCCGUCGCUAC